rnacentral:tRNA from 1 species
GAAGGAAUAGCUCAGUGGUAGAGCGCGUUCGUAGUGUACACAAGAUCCUGGGUUCAAUCCCCAGUACCUGUA